CUACGGGGGGCUGCAGUCGAGAAUCUUCGGCAAUGGACGAAAGUCUGACCGAGCGACGCCGCGUGUACGAUGAAGGCCUUCGGGUUGUAAAGUACUGUCAGUUGGGAGGAAAUAUUUGGGGGUCAUCCCCCUUAUUUGACCCAUCUUCAGAGGAAGUGCGGGCUAAGUUCGUGCCAGCAGCCGCGGUAAUACGAACCGCACGAACGUUAUUCGGAAUCACUGGGCUUAAAGGGUGCGUAGGCGGUCUGGUAAGUUGGGUGUGAAAUCCCUCGGCUCAACCGAGGAAUUGCGCUCAAUACUGCUAGACUUGAGGGAGAUAGAGGUAAGCGGAACUCAGGGUGGAGCGGUGAAAUGUGUUGAUAUCCUGGGGAACACCAGUUGCGAAAGCGGCUUACUGGGUCUCUUCUGACGCUGAGGCACGAAAGCUAGGGGAGCGAACGGGAUUAGAUACCCUCGUAGUC
rnacentral:rRNA from 1 species